rfam:Heligmosomoides polygyrus genome assembly, scaffold: HPBE_scaffold0013566
GCACUGGUGGUGUAAGGCGAACAUCGCCGCCUGGAAAGCAGAAGAUGCGGGUUCGAGUCCCGCCUAGCGCA